CGGCGGACGGGUGAGUAAUGUCUGGGAAACUGCCCGAUGGAGGGGGGUAACUACUGGAAACGGUAGCUAAUACCGCAUAACGUCGCAAGACCAAAGAGGGGACCUUCGGGCCUCUUGCCAUCGGAUGUGCCCAGAUGGGAUUAGCUAGUAGGUGGGGUAACGGCUCACCUAGGCGACGAUCCCUAGCUGGUCUGAGAGGAUGACCAGCCACACUGGAACUGAGACACGGUCCAG
rnacentral:rRNA from 1 species